rnacentral:pre_miRNA from 13 species
UUCUUCAGUGAGACCCUCUUCUUCUGGAAGCUGGUUUCACAUGGUGGCUUAGAUUUUUCGAUCUUUGUAUCUAGCACCAUUUGAAAUCAGUGUUUUAGGAGUAAGAAUUGCAGCGGCACAAGGG